rnacentral:lncRNA from 1 species
GCUCGCACCCCCUCCCCUCCUCUCCCGCCCACCUGGCCCGCCCCGCCCCCCUUUCCGAUCCCUCCCCUCCUCCGGGACCCCGGGCGCGCCCCAGCCGGCCCCCGCACCUCGCUGACGGCCCGCCGAGACAACGCGCCCCCUCUUCCCGCUCCGGUGGCUGAUUUUCGGAGGAGAGGAAAUUUCACUUUUUCACGGCCGCCGCCGACCCCGCCCCUGCCUUCAGCCCCAUCCCCUUCCCGAGCAGGGCUGAUUUCUACCUCCUGGUGCGGGUGUCUGGGGAGGCGGUGUUGCCAUGGUUUGCCUUGACCUUGGCAAAGGAGGGGAGGGAUAUUGCCCUGGCUUAAGCUACGUUUGAGCUUCCUCGGGUUUCCUUGGCUCCCUGGACCCAGCCCUCGGUGAUAUCAUUUGCCACAUUUUCCUUGGGUGAGCCUGGCUUUCCCGCCUGAACGUAAGUUACCCAGGGGCUGACACCUGGCCUCAUUCAUAUGUGUACCCCCAAAGCCUAGCCCAGAGCAGGUGCAUGAUCAAUUCUUAGUGCCAGGCAUGGCUCUAAACCCCAAGCACGGAUUGCCUCACUUCGACUCCCCUGUUCCUCGUGAGGAACACGAGCUUUUAGUCACUUUGGUUUGGUGAGUGUCAGGUAAAGAAGAGAAUCACCCAAGAAUGUGUCAUAGGAGGACUGAGACCGAGUUGGGACAGUCGAAAAGAAUGAACCCAGAAUACAGUUUUAUUCGUUUGGUUUUGGUUAAGUCAAACCGUGAAACACGGAAAAUACACAGACUGUACCAUUCACAGGAUGAACAGCCACUUGCAUUUGUCCAAAAUGUGUAAUACACAACCACGGCAGAAGAGGAAAGGAGGCAUUCAGAGAUACGCAAUACAUCGUUUCAUUGGAUCCUGGGUUUUACUAUUGCAGAAGACUGGCAAAAUGGGAAACAGAAGACCACAGGGCAGUGAGAGAUGUAUUUAUACAACACGGCAUAAAAAAAUUAUGCUUUG